UAGGGAAUCUUCCACAAUGGGCGCAAGCCUGAUGGAGCAAUGCCGCGUGAAUGAUGAAGGUCUUCGGAUUGUAAAGUUCUGUUGUUAGCCAAGAACCUCCACCAACUAACUACUGGUGGACUGACGGUAGCUAACCAGAAAGCCCCGGCUAACUACGUGCCAGCAGCCGCGGUAAUACGUAGGGGGCGAGCGUUGUCCGGAAUUAUUGGGCGUAAAGGGAGCGCAGGCGGUUCGUUCAGUCUGAUGUGAAAGCCCACGGCUUAACCGUGGAAUGGCAUUGGAAACUAACGAACUUGAAUCCAGAAGAGGAAAGCGGAAUUCCAUGUGUAGUGGUGAAAUACGUAGAUAUAUGGAAGAACACCAGUGGCGAAAGCGGCUUUCUGGUCUGAGAUUGACGCUGAGGCUCGAAAGCGUGGGGAGCAAACA
rnacentral:rRNA from 1 species